rnacentral:SRP_RNA from 1 species
GCCGGGCAUGGUGAUGUGUGCCUGUAAUCCCAGCUACUUGGGAGGCUGAGGCAGGAGAAUUGCUUGAACCCGGGAGGUGGAGGUUGCAGUGAGUCGAGAUCAUGCCACUGCACUCCAGCCCGGGCAAUGCAGUGAGAUUCUGUCUCAA